rnacentral:rRNA from 1 species
AGAGUUUGAUCAUGGCUCAGGAUGAACGCUGGCGGCGUGCCUAACACAUGCAAGUCGAACGGGUGUGGUAUCAGGGAAAAGGGGUUUACUUCUUUGACCAGAUAACACACUAGUGGCGGACGGGUGAGUAACGCGUGGAUAACCUGCCUUAUACAGGGGGAUAACAGGGAGAAAUUCUUGCUAAUACCCCAUAGGUAUGUCUGACGCAUGUUGGACAUAUUAAAGCUUUGGCGGUAUAAGAUGGGUCCGCGUCUGAUUAGCUAGUUGGUGGGGUAAAGGCCCACCAAGGCGACGAUCAGUAGCCGGCUUGAGAGAGUGGACGGCCACAUUGGGACUGAGACACGGCCCAAACUCCUACGGGAGGCAGCAGUGGGGAAUAUUGCACAAUGGGGGAAACCCUGAUGCAGCGACGCCGCGUGAAGGAAGAAGGUCUUCGGAUCGUAAACUUCUAUCAGCAGGGAAGAAGGAAGUGACAGUACCUGAGUAAGAAGCCCCGGCUAACUACGUGCCAGCAGCCGCGGUAAUACGUAGGGGGCGAGCGUUAUCCGGAAUUACUGGGUGUAAAGGGUGCGUAGGCGGUAUGGCAAGUCAGUUGUGAAACCCCCUGGCUCAACCAGGGGCUUGCAAUUGAAACUGUCAUACUAGAGUGCAGGAGAGGAAAGCGGAAUUCCUAGUGUAGCGGUGAAAUGCGUAGAUAUUAGGAAGAACACCAGUGGCGAAGGCGGCUUUCUGGACUGUAACAGACGCUGAGGCACGAAAGCGUGGGGAGCGAACAGGAUUAGAUACCCUGGUAGUCCACGCCGUAAACGAUGAGUGCUAGGUGUUGGGGUCUAAUUAGAUCUCGGUGCUGAAGUAAACGCAUUAAGCACUCCACCUGGGGAGUACGAUCGCAAGAUUGAAACUCAAAUGAAUUGACGG